rnacentral:lncRNA from 1 species
GUUUGGAAUAAAUUGGCAGUGCUUUUUCCUCCCUGCCUGUUUGUGUAUUUGUUUUGUUUCCUCCUCCCCCAAGGUAAAUCUAGAGCACUCUAAUGGGAUCUAUACAUACAGUACGUGGCAUUUAACUAAAACGUUUUAUCAAGCAUCUUUAAAUCUGCAGUCAGCCUCAUUUAACCUCUAAAAUUACGCUCAACAGACGACCUUCAUUAGCCAAAUUGGAAGGAACGUGCGGUCCCCUUCGAGAAGCGCAGCAUCCCUCCCGACUUCCCCAAACGGCCUGCUUCAACUUCACAGCCAAAAAACGCCGGUCCACGCCGCCACCGGGGCUGGCAUCCCGGCGCUGGCUGAAGGCUGCUCCCCACCAAGGGCUGCGGGCACCUACGGCAGGCAUCGCCCCCGGGGGGGUCCGGGGGGACCCUGAGGGAUGGGUUCUCCUCGGAGCUGCCGACCGACGCGGCUGUAGGGGGACCGGGGCAAUUGUCCCCUUGUCGCCCUACCUGCAGUGCCCUCCCUCCCCCCGAGCGGGGAAGGAUGUGUCGGGAGAGCGAGGAGGCAUUUGAUCAUUUACUGCCCACGGAGGCAUUUGUUUUUCAUUUUGCGAACGCUUCCCUUUAAGUAAUUGUUCCUGUUAAGAGCGUAUACCUUUCACAGGGCUUCGCCGCGCUAUAAAUAAUCUCGAUGAAGAUGCAAGGAUAUGACUUUCACAAGAUUGGACAAUUGAUUAAAACUGUGACCUGCAAUUGCGAAUAAUCUUGGAAGGCUAUUUAAACAGAUGAAGGCCUAAAUUGUCUUGCUUGUAUCUGAAUUAAUUUCUCAUUCAUCAUCAUUAUGGAGUGAUUGGUUCUAUUCAGGCUCUGCAGCCUGCUGGAACGAAACUGGAUUUAAAUGAGACUGUAACACAAUUUAAAUGCUCUCCAGCUUUAACGAGGCCAAUCGAGCAGCUGCAAUAAAUACAAAUAUUUUUCUAAACAGCCUUGUUUUAAAUAAUUACUUAAUACUUUCAUGUGAUGUUCUUAAGUGGCAAUUUCUGUCUCUCAAGAAGUCCCAGUUACUUCUUCGCAGAGAGGGCAGCGGGGAAAAUCGCUUUGCCCGUUUGCUUUGUGUGUGCUGGAAAACGACCUAACAACCGAGCAGAAAAUGUGAAAUAUGGAGAGCCGAUUUUCUAAUGAUUUGGGCGCUGGAGUAAAGAAUCGUGCUGGGAAAGCAGAUCCGAUCCAGUUUAAUCAUACAGCCUUAAUAAAAACGUAUAGCCUGAGACGGGGAAGUAAGCG